rnacentral:rRNA from 1 species
AUUGAACGCUAGCGGGAUGCUUUACACAUGCAAGUCGAACGGGAGGCGGACGGGUUGGCAAUGUAUCGGAACGUGCCCAGUGGCGGGGGAUAACUACUCGAAAGUGAGGCUAAUACCGCAUACUUGUGCAGCGGCCGAUAUCGGUUUAGCUAGUUGGUGGGGUAAAGGCUGACCAAGGCAACGAUCCGUAGCUGGUGUGAGAGGACGACCAGCCACACUGGGACUGAGACACGGUCCAGACUCCUACGGGAGGCAGCAGUGGGGAAUUUUGGACAAUGGGGGAAACCCUGAUCCAGCCAUCCCGCGUGUAUGAGAAGGCCUUCGGGUUGUAAAGUACUUUUAGCAGAGAAGCGGUAUCUGCAGAAUAAGCACCGGCUAACUACGUGCCAGCAGCCGCGGUAAUUC